AGAGGUGUAGAGCAUGGGAAAA
rnacentral:miRNA from 14 species